GCCAGUAUAGCUGAGGUGAAUCAUGUGUCACAUUUUGGCCACCAGCAGUAACCCAGUAAAAUCCGACAAUCCACCAGACAAAUGAAAACAUUGUAUUUGCAGACUCCAGGGGCUUUACAACACUAGUUUCAUCAUCAUUGGCCUGCUCUUCAGCCCCAUAGUACACAGAAUUUCCUCCAUCACUCCCCGAUCCCGAAGUGGAAUCCCCACUUGCCCAAGCCCCAUUGACUCCCAAUCCCACAUUCCUUCCACUACGCCUUCUGUACUCGAAGAUCACACAGGCAAUAUGAAACACACACUGCAAACCGUACCCAAUAAUCCACAGCCUCAACGGCACCUCAGGUUCCUCCUUGACGCUGAGCCCCAACACCACAACAGCAAUCCCCACGAAGGCCAAAUUCCACAACACAUCUAGCACAAUAAUAGGCUUGGAGUAAGCCCAAUCGCUCUGGCGCCCCUCGAGCUGCUCCGCCGCAUUUUCGCGCACCCGGACAGAGGGCUCCCGAAGCAUCAUGCGACGGCUGCUGGCUCGCCGG
rnacentral:misc_RNA from 1 species